AGUGAACGCUGGCGGUAGGCCUAACACAUGCAAGUCGAACGGCAGCACAGUAAGAGCUUGCUCUUACGGGUGGGGAGUGGAGGACGGGUGAGGAAUACAACGGACUCUACUUUUUCGUGGGGGAUAACGUAGGGAAAGUUACGCUAAUACAGCAUACGAUCUUGGGGUGAAAGCAGGGGAUCUUCGGCCCUUGCGCGAUUGAAUGAGCUGCUGGCGGAUUAGAUAGUUGGCGGGGUAAAGGCCAACCAAGGCGAGGAUCCGUAGCUGGUCUGAGAGGAUGAUCGGCCACAUUGGAACUGAGACACGGUCCAGACUCCUACGGGAGGCAGCAGUGGGGAAUAUUGGACAGUGGGCGCAAGCCUGAUCCAGCCAUACCGCGUGGGUGACGAAGGCCUUCGGGUUGUAAAGCCCUUUUGUUGGGAAAGAACAGCAGCAGGUUAAGACCCCGCUGUUCUGACGGUACCCAAAGAAUAAGCACCGGCUAACUACGUG
rnacentral:rRNA from 1 species